rnacentral:rRNA from 1 species
GCUCAACCUUGAGAAUGCCUUGGAAACUGGGGGACUUGAGUACUGGAGAGGCAAGGGGAAUUCCACGUGUAGCGGUGAAAUGCGUAGAGAUGUGGAGGAAUACCAGUGGCGAAGGCGCCUUGCUGGACAGUGACUGACGCUGAGGCACGAAAGCGUGGGGAGCAAACAGGAUUAGAUACCCUGGUAGUCCACGCCGUAAACGAUGAGUGCUAGGUGUUGGGGGUUCAUCCCCUCAGUGCCGAAGGAAACCCAAUAAGCACUCCGCCUGGGGAGUACGGUCGCAAGACUGAAACUC